AUCGAGGACGAGGAAGAGAGAAUGUUAAUGUAGGUUGCGAGAUACAGAAGAAUAAGAAGGACACACAGAAGAAGAAGAGAGAUUAUUUCCACAGUUCCACGAGCUCUUUUCGCGAUUGGCGAAAGCAUCAUAUUUAAAGAUCAAUUAAACAUGAAAAGAAAGGGAGAGAUAUCAGACUUCUGUUCCAAAAGGACACAAUGACGUUUUGAAGAUCCAGAGAAGAGGGUCCUGUACCAGCCGUGUUUGAAAACAUUUCCCAGAACUCAGCAUGGUUCUCAGAAAAGGGCUUUCAACAUCUCCUGGAAUAAGGACAGUUCAUGGCUUGAAUAUUCUGUAAAUCAAGAUUCGACCUAUUGUUUCGCCUGUAUGCAUUUUUCUCUGCCCAAUAGACCUGAAUCUGCCUUCACAUCACAGUCGGGUUAUUGUAACUGGAAAAAUGCGCUUAUUUGAAGAUUCUGGGUUUAAGCUCCAUUCGAAGGCAGAGCAUCAUAUCAAUGCUGUGUAUGCUUGGAAUCAGCAUAAAAGGGCUAUUGACAGCAACUCAUUAAUGUUAGACGUCAUAAAUGAGGACCGGAAAAAGUAAGUGGAGGAAAACUGUACUUACAUUAAAACAAUUGCAGAUGUGCUCCUAUUAA